UACGUAGGGUGCGAGCGUUGUCCGGAAUUAUUGGGCGUAAAGAGCUCGUAGGCGGUCUGUCGCGUCGGUCGUGAAAACUUGGGGCUUAACCCUGAGCUUGCGGUCGAUACGGGCAUGACUGGAGUUCGGUAGGGGAGACUGGAAUUCCUGGUGUAGCGGUGGAAUGCGCAGAUAUCAGGAGGAACACCGAUGGCGAAGGCAGAUCUCUGGGCCGUAACUGACGCUGAGGAGCGAAAGCAUGGGGAGCGAACAGG
rnacentral:rRNA from 1 species